rnacentral:rRNA from 1 species
CAGUCGCCGCGGGAAUACAGAGGGUGCAAGCGUUAAUCGGAAUUACUGGGCGUAAAGCGCGAGUAGGUGGUUUGUUAAGUUGGAUGUGAAAGCCCCGGGCUCAACCUGGGAACUGCAUCCAAAACUGGCAAGCUAGAGUAAGGUAGAGGGUGGUGGAAUUUCCUGUGUAGCGGUGAAAUGCGUAGAUAUAGGAAGGAACACCAGUGGCGAAGGCGACCACCUGGACUGAUACUGACACUGAGGUGCGAAAGCGUGGGGAGCAAACAGGAUUAGAUACCCCUGUAGUCCCUGUCUCUUAUAC